rnacentral:rRNA from 1 species
GACGAACGCUGGCGGCGUGCCUAAUACAUGCAAGUAGAACGCAGUUGCGAACGGGUGAGUCCCGCGUAUGUAACGGCCUCAUAGCGGGGGAUAACUAUUGGAGCCGUUAUCUAAUACCGGAUACCUUGAUCUGAACCUGCGUUGUGUUAGCUAGUUGGUGAGGUAAAGGCCCACCAAGGCGACGAUACAUAGCCGAGCUGGGAGGGUUGUUGGGCCCACUGGGACUGGGACACGGCCCAGACUCCUACGGGAGGCAGCAGUAGGGAAUCUUCGGACAUGGACGGAAGGCUGACCGAGCAACGCCGCGGGAGUGGAGAAGGUUUUCGGAUCGUAAAGCUCUGUUGUUAGAGGAGCGGUAACUACCCAGAAAGGAACGGCUAACUACGUGCCAGCAGCCGCGGUAAUAC